AGGCGCCUGACAGGACGGUGAAGAGAAAUGCGCGGGUUCUGCACAGGCUCCGCCCCCUCUGUGAAGGCGGGAAAGUGUCUUCUCUGCAGUCACCACAGGAUUCCUGUCCGCGUUACGUCCUGACUACAGCCGCCCAGAUAUAAGGCAAUAGUGCUGUGACUGCAAACAGGGACUUCUCAAUGUAGAUGAAUGGGAUGGAAGAUGAGGGUUGUUAUCAAACGUCCUUAUAAGUAGAACAGUGUAUUCCUCACAGAUAGAAAACAGUUGCAGGUUUACAAGUCAUGAAUCCACAUGGGAAUUCUGUUGUUUAGGACUCAGCCAAGCAGCUGUCAAUCAUUGUUGGCCUUGAAAAGAUUACUUCUAAACAUAUGGUUACUGGGUCACUAAAGUUUUGUUCUCGACAGAGCCAUGGAAACAUCAGUGUUAUGGAUGCAGUAAAGCUGGAAUAAAAUUAACCUGAUGCUGAAGCUCAAGCAUAAGUAUGAAGGCUGCAGAAUAAGAUUUCUCUAUCCUCAGCCCAAACAUGGAAAAAGGCACAACGCACUGGGUUAAGCAAUGUUCUACAAGGUCCAUCCCUAGAGAUACUAUUCGUUUGUAAAUACAUCUUUCACAAGGAGGUCUUGGAGUCAUUUCAGACGAGCCUUGUACCCAGACGAGAUGAAAGCCAUUCUCUGAUAUAAGACAUGUUAUUUUUAAUAUGUUUUGUCUUCUCUGGUAACUAUUUUCUCUAUUCCUUUUUUUUUUUGUGUGUAGCAGUUUGAUUUUGCAUUGGCGUUGUCUAUCUCUUUGUAAGUGCUAGUGAAUAA